UUUUUUUCUGUCUGGUAGGAAAGAUAACCACAAAGAUAGGUUUGGUUGUCCUAUAAGACAUUUACAGGUUUUAGUUUAAUUUAGUAAUCUUAUUUCAGUAUUCUUUUUUCCACGGACUACAUAAAUCCUGAUUUUUCAUAUCUUCAUGGAACUAAUUUUGUCAUUUUGCCAUUGACCUCAUUAAUGAGUUGAAAGAAACCUUCUGCAGGCAAUCAUUUUCUUUUUGCAUAAGAAAUACAGUUUUAAUCAUGAAAGUACUAAGCUUUGAUAAUACACAAACUUUGUUCCCUUACCAAAUAUUGAAACCUUUCUUCACCUGGAAGACCACACCUCCCAUCCUUUUAAAGAUCAUUUGAUCUCACUUUGCCCUCCUUGAGCUGCACAGUUUGCAUUAAAUGUAUCACGGGAAUAAGGAGAUUUUUAUAGAAGUGUUGUGGAAGGACUGAUAGAGAAUUACAGAUUUUCAUGUCAUCACAGCUUAACUAUUGUGGAGACCUGACUGGAACAGAGGGGAAAGUGGCCAGGUGGGUGUCCUGGAGCGGGUGGCAUGAUUCUGAGCUCUCUGAAAGAAGGAAAGGAGAUGAACUGAUGAUAAUUUAACCUGAAGCUGAACAGAAAAAACUCUACUAAAACUGCCCAGUCCCAGCCGGAGAUGUGAGGUCACCCUUCCCUGCAUCCUGGUAUUUCACCUUCUUAAUGAUUAUAGGAAAACACGUUUGGGUCAUUACGGGAAUUCUUAAGACAAGGAGUCUUUCUGCCUUAGCAGGUGGCAUCUUGAGGCUGUUGGAUUCAGUCUUUGGGUUCUUUAAUCAGGAGCAGAUAGGACACGCAGGUAAGUUAGAAACAGCUUCUACAGACUUGUGUCAAUACGGAUGCUAAGCUGAAUAGACAAUUCCUUCACCCUUCGUGCGGAAAGGAAAGACCGGACAUAGAAUUGGACAUUUUACCAAGUCUAGAGGUGAGGAAAGCAUGUCAUAUCCAAAUUGCAUCCGUUUGGGUGUCAGAGUGGUUGCGGGUGCAAACUAGUUAAAGAGGAAUAUCAACAUGAGGAAUCGAUUAAUUCUUCCAAUCUUGUUUCCUGAAACAACUGACGUGCGUAGGAAAAAAUAAGUACAUCGAAGGUAGACCACCAAAUCAAUUUUCCUCUAAACUAGUAAUUUGCAGUCUACGUUUUUGCCAGCAUAAUCUAUCUGAAUGUUGUUUAAAGCGGAAGAUAAGCCACGUUUUCUGAAACUAUUUCUACACUCUCCUUAUAUUCAGGAAACAGGUCUUAGGAAAAACAAAGUUAUGUAAAUUAUCUCAAGUAAUCCUACAGGACCUUAGUAGGAUCCCGUAUUGUCUCACCAUACUUUCUGGAAGAACCCUUGUGCUGGGUAAUUAUCAUCAGAAUAACUGGCACGAAUGCCACACUUAAAUAUCAAAAGGAAUAAAAUUAAAACCACUCGAGAGAAACGGACACGUGCUAUUUGCUCACAUGCUCCGUAAGCGAUGCUACUGACUGCAAUUCCUCCUUAGGGCCGAGAUAAAUACACAGGUACCGGUCCCUGGGUUAGUCCCUGGGAGUGAGUACCUGAGGGAGAGGGCUGGCCUUUCACGACGCCGUUCUUCGUCUUCUCUUCCGAAAGCAUCACCUCCUUGUAGAUGAGUUCUGUAAGAGACAGCCAUCAGGGUGGUAACGGUCAUUUUCUCCUGAUCCCGAGAGGAAACUCAGGAGCGAAUGACAGAUAAUAAUAACACUGCGAUGGGGUUGAGCAAGUUACACAGCAAAUGGGAUUCCUCUACGCUCUAUUUCCACACGUUACUGUUUUCUGCGUUAUUCGGGGAUGUCUGGGAGAGUUCAUGUUAUCUUUUAAGAAUUUUAAUGGCUCAGGUUUAAUGCUGUCUUUUAAGAAUUUCAAUGGCUCAGGUUUUUUGUUUGUUUAUUUUUGUCUUUUGUCUCUUUAGGCCCGAACCCGUGGCAUAGGGAGGUUCCCAGGCGAGGGGUCUGAUUGGAGCUGCAGCUGCCGGCCUGCGCCAGAGCCACAGCAACGUGGGAUCCCAGCCACGUCUGCGACCUGCACCAGAGCUCAGGGCCAGGCCGGAUCCUUCACCCACUGAGCGAGGUUACGAGCUCGGUGUUGAACACCGGUUUUCCUUUUUAUUCACUCCUUGAGAGAUGCACAGAGUCUCACAGCUCAAAGCUGUUACUUUUUACCAGUUUUCCAACUCUCCAUCUUUUUUCCAGACUCAAAUCUUGGAUUCGUAAAGCUAAAUGUGCCCCAAGUCUGACAUUAAAAAAUUAUUAUAUUUACUCCCAAACUGGCAUCUAUUUCGGGCUUUUUCAUUGCUAGAGUUAAAAUUCUGUAUAUUUUCAUUUCUUUUCACUUUCUCCCGUUUGGCUAAAAGUUAUUCUGCGUCACUCAUUCUUGCUUUUCAGUGGCUUACACUUUAUAUAAGCAUCAUCCUUUACAGGUAUUUAUUUCCCCUGGUUUUUGACGAUUUAGUCUAUGUCCAUUCUCCUCAAGUCAUAUCCUAUCGCUUAUCUAAUCAUGACCCCCUGAGUACCUGGUCUUUAUUUAGAACAAAUGAAGUCUUUUUCAAUCAUUGUCAACUUUUUUUUUUUACUUGAUCUACUGUUGGUGUGGGCUUAUUUUUCCAAACUCUGCCACGUGACUCUUGAGCAGUGGAGUCUUUUUACCACCUUUAUGGCACAUUUUGCUCAUUCCUACCCUUUGGUCCCCUUUAACAUCUUCAUUUUGGUAUUUUCUCCUCUUCUUUUCCCAGCUUAAACUUACUAAGGCCGUUACUGCAGUGCAAACGUUCCUUCCCUUCAGACCUCCCUUUUAAGGUCCUCUUCAUUUUGUCCUAGUUAUCAGUUGUAAUCUGCAUUUGCUUUUCUCCUAUUUAUUCUACUUCACAGUUAUUUAUCCUAGUUUUAACAAGUCUUCUCUGCUUUGCUUCACACUGAGUAUGAUCUUGUUCACGUAGCAUGUGUUUGGAAAAGUUUUGCGGAAAAAAAUUAAUUGAUGUAUUCAUUCAUUCUGUUCUUACUUUGAUGGAGAUACAAGCUACUGAGAUACAUACAUUUUCUACUUCAGUUCUCCAAGUCCUAAAACUCACGUGAAUGAAUUCAUAUAUCCACUGUCUUUUGUUUUCUAAUGCCUAAAACCAUCUUAGGCAUAAUUUUAUCCACUUUAUGUGAUAAUUUUAUGUACAAACACAAAAUGCUGAUUUCUAAAAAUCUGAACUGAAGCUUGCCCUCCCACAGACUUGGACAAUCAGCAUUAUUUUUUAAGUAUCAGUAAUUAAUGCCUUUCAUUAUUGAGUAAGUGCAAUACUAUUAUUAGUACAAAGAUAUAGAUGAAGUUUUAAAAGCUUUGAAAAUGGUCUAAGAAGAUAGUGCUUGGAAAAUCAUCUGUUAACAAACUGUUUUAAAAGGAAAAUCCUUAAAGAUACUUUCUGAGUUUCAAUAAAGCAAAAAGUAUAUGUUUGUAAGUUGUGGAGUCACCUUUCCAUUCUUCGAUGGUGUGUUCUCUCUCAUCCAGCUGUUUGUCAUAUAUCUGAGGCGGAGGCUGCAGAUAAAAACAAACAAAAAACCUUCUAUAAUUAACUAAAAAUAAUUGAAGUCUUACAAUGCAGGAGAAUGUCUUGCUAUUCAUUGAUUUUAGUGGUGAUCAGAAUCUCAUGUAAAUUGUGGAGAAAUGGCAAUGGUGCAAAAGUUAAAAUCCUGCCACAAACUUAUAAAGGAAUCAAGUAUAUGUCAAUGAGUUCCCGUUGUGGCUCAGUGGUUAACGAACCCGACUAGUAUCCAUAAGGACACGAGUUCGACCCCUGGCCUCGCUCAGUGGGUUAAGGAUCUGGGGCUGCCGUGAGCUGUGAUGUAGGUGGCAGAUGCAGCUGGGAUCUGGCGUUGCUGUGGCUGUGAUGCAGGCUGGCGGCUACAGCUCCGAUUUGACCCCUAGCCUGGAGACCUCCACAUGC
rnacentral:lncRNA from 1 species